rnacentral:tRNA from 1 species
GGGGAUGUGGUGAAAUGGUAUCACAUUAGUCUCCAAAACUAAUUUUCCAGGUUCAAGUCCUGGCAUCCCUG